GUGGGAGGGGGCUUGCUCCCGAUGGCGGAGUGUCAGUAAGCACAUUUGUUACUGACAUACCGCCAUCGGGAGCAAGCCCCCUCCCAC
rnacentral:misc_RNA from 1 species